UACGGAGGGUGCGAGCGUUGUCCGGAAUCAUUGGGCGUAAAGGGCGCGUAGGUGGCGGGACAAGCGUGCGGUGAAAGCUCGGGGCUCAACCCCGCGUCGGCCGUGCGAACUGUUUUGCUUGAGCACUGUAGAGGCAGGCGGAAUUCCGGGUGUAGCGGUGGAAUGCGUAGAGAUCCGGAAGAACACCGGUGGCGAAGGCGGCCUGCUGGGCUAACACUGACGCUCAGGCACGAAAGCGUGGGGAGCAAACGAGGAUUAGAGUACCCGAG
rnacentral:rRNA from 1 species